rnacentral:rRNA from 1 species
UACGGAGGAUGCGAGCGUUAUCCGGAUUUAUUGGGUUUAAAGGGUGCGUAGGCGGGAUGCCAAGUCAGCGGUAAAAAUGCGGUGCUCAACGCCGUCGAGCCGUUGAAACUGGCGUUCUUGAGUGGGCGAGAAGUAUGCGGAAUGCGUGGUGUAGCGGUGAAAUGCAUAGAUAUCACGCAAAACUCCGAUUGCGAAGGCAGCAUACCGGCGCCCUACUGACGCUGAGGCACGAAAGCGUGGGUAUCGAACAGG